AACGAACGCUGGCGGCAUGCCUAACACAUGCAAGUCGAACGAAACCUUCGGGUUUAGUGGCGCACGGGUGCGUAACGCGUGGGAACCUGCCUUUAGGUUCUGAAUAACUCCCCGAAAGGGGUGCUAAUACCGGAUAAUGACUUCGGAUCAAAGAUUCAUCGCCUUUGGAUGGGCCCGCGUUGGAUUAGCUAGUUGGUGGGGUAAAAGGCUACCAAGGCGACGAGCCGUAGCUGGUCUGAGAGGAUGAUCAGCCACACUGGGACUGAGACACGGCCCAGACUCCUACGGGAGGCAGCAGUGGGGAAUCUUGGGCAAUGGGCGAAAGCCUGAUCCAGCAAUGCCGCGUGAAUGAUGAAGGGCUUAGGAUUGUAAAGCUCUUUUACCGGGGAUGAUAAUGACGGUACCGGGAGAAGAAGCACCGGCUAACUCCGUG
rnacentral:rRNA from 1 species